AGUGCAUCAGAGAGGCACUGCAGGUGUGUCUUUUGUGUCACACAAGUGUCAAAAGGAAACAGUGAAGAGAGGGGCUAUGUCUAUGUUCAUCUCAUUGUCCUGACCUAUGAACAUCUGACUGAUUAGUAGCCUAGCAUU